GAUGAACGCUGGCGGCGUGCCUAAUACAUGCAAGUCGAGCGAACAGAUGAGGAGCUUGCUCCUCUGACGUUAGCGGCGGACGGGUGAGUAACACGUGGAUAACCUACCUAUAAGACUGGGAUAACUUCGGGAAACCGGAGCUAAUACCGGAUAAUAUAUUGAACCGCAUGGUUCAAUAGUGAAAGACGGUUUUGCUGUCACUUAUAGAUGGAUCCGCGCCGCAUUAGCUAGUUGGUAAGGUAACGGCUUACCAAGGCAACGAUGCGUAGCCGACCUGAGAGGGUGAUCGGCCACACUGGAACUGAGACAAGGUCCAGACUCCUAAGGGAGGCAGCAGUAGGGAAUCUUCCGCAAUGGGCGAAAGCCUGACGGAGCAACGCCGCGUGAGUGAUGAAGGUCUUCGGAUCGUAAAACUCUGUUAUUAGGGAAGAACAAAUGUGUAAGUAACUAUGCACGUCUUGACGGUACCUAAUCAGAAAGCCACGGCUAACUACGUG
rnacentral:rRNA from 1 species